AGGAUGAGAAGAAGAAACCGAAAGACUAGGAGAUAUGGAGUUUUGGACACUAACAUAGAAAAUAUGGAAUUGACACCUUUAGAACAGGAUGAUGAGGAUGAUGACAACACGUUGUUUGAUGCCAAUCAUCCUCGAAGACUGCUGUGGAAUUCCUGAGAAAGAGCAACUGAGGGAUAGCAACAUGGAUUUCACUGAAUAAGAAUGUGCCUUUUGAUGAAAGAACUUUAUCUUUCUACAAUGAAGAGUGGAAUUUCUAUGUUUAAGGAAUAAGAAGCCACUAUAUCAAUGUUGGGGGGGUAUUUAAGUUACAUAUAUUUUAACAACCUUUAAUUUGCUGUUGCAAUAAAUACCGUAUCCUUUUAUUAUAUCUUUAUAUGUAUAGAAGUACUCUGUUAAUGGGCUCAGAGAUGUUGGGGAUAAAGUAUACUGUAAUAAUUUAUCUGUUUGAAAAUUACUAUAAAACGGUGUUUUCUGAUCGGUUUUUGUUUCCUGCUUACCAUAUGAUUGUAAAUUGUUUUAUGUAUUAAUCAGUUAAUGCUAAUUAUUUUUGCUGAUGUCAUAUGUUAAAGAGCUAUAAAUUCCAACAACCAACUGGUGUGUAAAAAUAAUUUAAAAUUUCCUUUACUGAAAGGUAUUUCCCAUUUUUGUGGGGAAAAGAAGCCAAAUUUAUUACUUUGUGUUGGGGUUUUUAAAAUAUUAAGAAAUGUCUAAGUUAUUGUUUGCAAAACAAUAAAUAUGAUUUUA
rnacentral:lncRNA from 1 species